rnacentral:misc_RNA from 1 species
AACGCACAUUGCGCCCUCUGGUAUUCCGGGGGGCAUGCCUGUUCGAGCGUCAUUUCAACCCUCAAGCUCCGGCUUGGUGUUGGGCGCCGCCCCGCCCGCGGGCGCGCCUGAAACUCGUGGGCGGCCGUGCUCGGCUCCUCAGCGUAGUCACAUCUCUCGCUCUGGACAGUCGCGCGCGGCCCGCCUGGGAAACCGCAUCUCACAUCACGGUUUGACCUCGGAUCAGGUAGGGAUACCCGCUGAACUUAA